GAGUCUUUAGCUUAAUUAAAGCGUCUGUCUUGCAUGCAGAAGAUAUGGGUCUGAGCCCUGUAAGUUUCUUAGGAAUUGAAAGAUUUA
rnacentral:tRNA from 1 species